rnacentral:misc_RNA from 1 species
AACGCAUAUUGCGGUCAAGGCUUCGGCCGAGACCAUGUCUGCCUCAGCGUCGGUGUGACCCCCACAUCCCCCCCAUCUGGGGCGGGAUGGAGCUGGUCUCCCCACUGCUAAACACCUCGGUGCGGCUGCAGUGGGCUGGCCGAAAUUCAGAGGUUUAAGCUUGGACCUGUAUGGCACCAGCAAGGUAGGUAGCUCGACUACUCCAGCUGAUGCUUUGGGGACUGGCACGAGCCCGCAGGAAAUCACCACUUUUUCGACCUGAGAUCAGGCAAGGCUACCCGCUGAACUUAA